GAUAGCUGAUGUCCUGAAGGUACCAGAUCCUGUCUGAUCUUGGAUGAUAAGCAGGGUCAGCCCUGAUUGGUACUGGGGUGGGAGACCACCAAUGAAUAACAGCUACAGUAAGCU
rnacentral:rRNA from 1 species